UAAUAUGUACAUUCCUACAUUGUUAAUGCACUCGAUCCCAUUAGAACUCCAUAGUUAAGAGUGCAUGGGCUAGAGUAGUAUUGGUAUGGGUGACCUCCUAGGAAGUCUUAAUGCUUUACAUGCC
rfam:Picea glauca, whole genome shotgun sequence.